rnacentral:rRNA from 1 species
CCUACGGGGGGCUGCAGUGGGGAAUAUUGGACAAUGGGGGCAACCCUGAUCCAGCCAUGCCGCGUGUGUGAAGAAGGCCCUCGGGGUGUAAAGCACUUUCAGUGAGGAAGAACGCCUGGUGGUUAAUACCCAUCAGGAAAGACAUCACUCACAGAAGAAGCACCGGCUAACUCCGUGCCAGCAGCCGCGGUAAUACGGAGGGUGCGAGCGUUAAUCGGAAUUACUGGGCGUAAAGCGCGCGUAGGUGGCUUGAUAAGCCGGUUGUGAAAGCCCCGGGCUCAACCUGGGAACGGCAUCCGGAACUGUCAAGCUAGAGUGCAGGAGAGGAAGGUAGAAUCCCCGGUGUAGCGGUGAAAUGCGUAGAGAUCGGGAGGAAUACCAGUGGCGAAGGCGGCCUUCUGGACUGACACUGACACUGAGGUGCGAAAGCGUGGGUAGCAAACAGGAUUAGAUACCCCUGUAGUC